rnacentral:rRNA from 1 species
UGUGUCAGCCAGCCGCGGUAAUACGGAGGGUGCAAGCGUUAAUCGGAAUUACUGGGCGUAAAGCGCACGCAGGCGGUCUGUCAAGUCGGAUGUGAAAUCCCCGGGCUCAACCUGGGAACUGCAUUCGAAACUGGCAGGCUAGAGUCUUGUAGAGGGGGGUAGAAUUCCAGGUGUAGCGGUGAAAUGCGUAGAGAUCUGGAGGAAUACCGGUGGCGAAGGCGGCCCCCUGGACAAAGACUGACGCUCAG